rnacentral:rRNA from 1 species
CCUACGGGUGGCAGCAGUGAGGAAUAUUGGUCAAUGGACGAGAGUCUGAACCAGCCAAGUAGCGUGAAGGAUGACUGCCCUAUGGGUUGUAAACUUCUUUUAUAUGGGAAUAAAAUGUUCCACGUGUGGGAUUUUGUAUGUACCAUAUGCAUAAGGAACGGCUAACUACGUGCCAGCAGCCGCGGUAAUACGGAGGAUCAGAGCGUUAUCCGGAUUUAUUGGGUUUAAAGGGAGCGUAGGUGGAUUGUUAAGUCAGUUGUGAAAGUUUGCGGCUCAACCGUAAAAUUGCAGUUGAAACUGGCAGUCUUGAGUACAGUAGAGGUGGGCGGAAUUCGUGGUGUAGCGGUGAAAUGCUUAGAUAUCACGAAGAACUCCGAUUGCGAAGGCAGUUCACUGGACUGCAACUGACGCUGAGGCUCGAAAGUGUGGGUAUCAAACAGGAUUAGAUACCCUUGUAGUC